CUUUCUCUCUCCUCUACACACACACACACAAGCCUGGGAUUCCAACACACAGCCGCGCUUUCUUACAGUGAAUCAGCUGCCAAGCUGGGCUGGAGCGGAGCUGUGGAAACAACACCCAGACAGACACCUGAAGAGUCUCCCACAUCCUGACGGGCAUACACACGUGCACAUGUACUCGACGGAACCACACACGCGGUAGAACCACACACGCGGCAGAGCUGGUGACAAGACAUGCCUAGAGGAAGUGUUGAAACUGUAUGUUAGUCAUGAGACACCAUUAGACAGUUUGGGUGAUGAAUGAACCUACAUCAGGUGUGAAAGACUGCCCUGCACAGCCAUGCCCUGCGCUCACAAAUCACCAGGACAGAGGGCCAGCCAGUUGACGGGGGAGGGAGAGCACCUCGUCUGUCUCUGUCUCUCUGAUGUCGGACGCUUGGGGUCAAAAGGUUAAUCCAAAAACAAAAACACACCACCUAGGCUACAACGUACUGGCAGAUGGAGAGCGAGAGGAUGGACAGUUAUAGAGUGAAAGAGAAACAAAGAAAGUGUAAGAGUUAAAUAGGGAGUGAGAGAGAAAGACCUGCACUUCAGAACCUGGAACAACGAAUUCUGUAACAGAAUGUUUCUUCAGUUGUUCUGGAAACCUGGGCCUCGAUCCAGAAAGUGUCAGAGUGUCAGAGAGCUGAUAUAGGGAAUCAUAAUGAAUACGAAUAUAUGGACCCCAUCCUAGAUCAACACACCUUUUGUGAGAUGCUGUGUUGAUACGGGUCCAGACCGUCACUCUCUUGUCCUCCCAGAAAACCACAGCCGAAUAACUACACAUUUAUACCCAUUCUCCCACUCUCUAAGAAUAACUUUUUUACUUAACCAGACAAAAAUGUUUACAGGGGACAUGAAUCAUAGGGUCAAAAGCAGCUCACAGUUAAUUGUGGUGCCAGAAACAGAGAGAGGGAUAUAGAGAG